rnacentral:rRNA from 1 species
CCUACGGGGUGCAGCAGUGGGGAAUAUUGGACAAUGGGCGAAAGCCUGAUCCAGCCAUGCCGUGUGUGUGAAGAAGGCCUUCGGGUUGUAAAGCACUUUCAGUGGGGAAGAAAGCCUUGGGGCUAAUACCCUCGAGGAAGGACAUCACCCACAGAAGAAGCACCGGCUAACUCCGUGCCAGCAGCCGCGGUAAUACGGAGGGUGCGAGCGUUAAUCGGAAUUACUGGGCGUAAAGCGCGCGUAGGCGGUCUGAUAAGCCGGUUGUGAAAGCCCCGGGCUCAACCUGGGAACGGCAUCCGGAACUGUCAGGCUAGAGUGCAGGAGAGGAAGGUAGAAUUCCCGGUGUAGCGGUGAAAUGCGUAGAGAUCGGGAGGAAUACCAGUGGCGAAGGCGGCCUUCUGGACUGACACUGACGCUGAGGUGCGAAAGCGUGGGUAGCAAACAGGAUUAGAUACCCUAGUAGUC